ACGAGGAUCAUCGGUGUAGCAAUACAUCGGCGGUUCUAGUGUCGUACGGGUGAGUAACACGUGGGUAACCUGUCCUUGAGCUCGGGAUACCCUCUCGAAAGGGAGGCUAAUACCGGAUACGUUCCUCGGAUUGCGAAGUCUGGGGAGGAAAGGUGGCGAAAGCUGCCGCUCGUGGAGGGGCUCGCGGCCUAUCAGCUAGUUGGUGAGGUAAUGGCUCACCAAGGCUAUGACGGGUAGCUGGUCUGAGAGGACGACCAGCCACACGGGAACUGAGACACGGUCCCGACUCCUACGGGAGGCAGCAGUGGGGAAUUUUCCGCAAUGGGCGAAAGCCUGACGGAGUGACGCCGCGUGGGGGACGAAGGCCUUCGGGUUGUAAACCCCUGUCAGAGGGAAAGAAGGGUGUCGGCGCGAUAACCGCCGGUACUUGACGGUACCUUCAGAGGAAGCCCCGGCCAACUCUGUGCCAGCAGCCGCGGUAAGACAGAGGGGGCAAGCGUUGCUCGGAAUCACUGGGCGUAAAGGGCGCGUAGGCGGGAUGGCAAGUCAGUCGUGAAAUCUCUCGGCUCAACCGAGAAACGUCGGCUGAUACUGCCGUUCUUGAGGGAUGCAGAGGAGACUGGAAUUCCCGGUGUAGCGGUGAAAUGUGUAGAGAUCGGGAGGAACACCGGUGGCGAAGGCGGGUCUCUGGGCAUUUCCUGACGCUGAGGCGCGAAAGC
rnacentral:rRNA from 1 species